rnacentral:rRNA from 1 species
GAGGCAGCAGUGGGGAAUAUUGCGCAAUGGGCGAAAGCCUGACGCAGCGACGCCGCGUGAGGGAUGAAGGCCUUCGGGUUGUAAACCUCUUUCAGUAGGGACGAAGCGAAAGUGACGGUACCUGCAGAAGAAGCACCGGCCAACUACGUGCCAGCAGCCGCGGUAAUACGUAGGGUGCAAGCGUUGUCCGGAAUUAUUGGGCGUAAAGAGCUCGUAGGCGGUCUGUCACGUCGGCUGUGAAAACUCGGGGCUCAACCCCGAGCCUGCAGUCGAUACGGGCAGACUAGAGUCCGGCAGGGGAGACUGGAAUUCCUGGUGUAGCGGUGAAAUGCGCAGAUAUCAGGAGGAACACCGGUGGCGAAGGCGGGUCUCUGGGCCGGAACUGACGCUGAGGAGCGAAAGCGUGGGGAGCGAGCAGGAUUAGAUACCCUGGUAGUCCACGCCGUAAACGUUGGGCGCUAGGUGUGGGGGACCUUCCACGUUCUCCGUGCCGCAGCUAACGCAUUAAGCGCCCCGCCUGGGGA